rnacentral:rRNA from 1 species
GAUGAACGCUGGCGGCGUGCUUAACACAUGCAAGUCGAACGGAAAGGCCUCUGCUUGCAGGGGUACUCGAGUGGCGAACGGGUGAGUAACACGUGGGUGAUCUGCCCUGCACUUCGGGAUAAGCCUGGGAAACUGGGUCUAAUACCGGAUAGGACAAUGGUUUGGAUGCCGUUGUGGAAAGUUUUUCGGUGUGGGAUGAGCUCGCGGCCUAUCAGCUUGUUGGUGGGGUAAUGGCCUACCAAGGCGUCGACGGGUAGCCGGCCUGAGAGGGUGUACGGCCACAUUGGGACUGAGAUACGGCCCAGACUCCUACGGGAGGCAGCAGUGGGGAAUAUCGCACAAUGGGCGCAAGCCUGAUGCAGCGACGCCGCGUGGGGGAUGACGGCCUUCGGGUUGUAAACUCCUUUCGCUAGGGACGAAGCGCAAGUGACGGUACCUGGAGAAGAAGCACCGGCUAACUACGUG